AACGAACGCUGGUGGCGUGCUUAACACAUGCAAGUCGAACGCGAAAGCCCUUCGGGGCGAGUAGAGUGGCGCACGGGUGAGUAAUGAAUAGGAACGUACCAUUUGGUGGGGGAUAACCUCGGGAAACCGUGGCUAAUACCGCGUAAUAUCGCAAGAUUAAAGGGGGCCUCUACUUGUAAGCUCUUGCCGAAUGAUCGGCCUAUUUCUCAUUAGCUUGUUGGUAGGGUAAUGGCCUACCAAGGCGACGAUGGGUAGCUGGUCUGAGAGGAUGAUCAGCCACACUGGAACUGAGACACGGUCCAG
rnacentral:rRNA from 1 species